rnacentral:rRNA from 1 species
AUUAACAGCCAUAGUUUACCACCCUGAGCAAACCUGAUCUUGGAAGCUAAGCAGGGCUGGACCUGGUUAGUACUUGGAUGGGGGGGCAACAUGGGAAUAACAGGCGCUGUCUGGG